GCCUGGGUGGCUCAGUCAGUUAAGCAACUGACUUCAGCUCAGGUCAUGAACUCACUGUUUGUGAGUUCAAGUCCCACAUCGGGCU
rnacentral:tRNA from 1 species